CGGUGCUUCUGCACACCAUUACCAUAAUACUGAAAAUACCAAUCUAUAAUAUUACGCAGAUAAAUAUAAUAAUUCCCCUCACAUUUGCACAUUUCCCCAGAAAAAAUAAGAACUCCACUCUUUUCCUUUCGGUUCAUUUUUUUCUGCGAAUGUUCGCUACCAAUGCCGCGAGCAACCUCUUCUUCCCCGGCAAUCCUUCGUCCUUCCGGUGCCGCGCCGCCGCCGGAGACCUCUCCGCGGGCCCCUCCUUCUUCCAGUCCGUCGCUGGCGGCCUAAGAAUAGGCCAGUUUCCCGACGGCGCAGGACUCGUCGUGGAAGGACGGCGCGGCGGUGGAAACGAGCCGAUAAGGGUGAAGAAAUGGUCUCGGAAGAAUGAGAGUUACUUGGACAACGACACUGAGCCUCUUCCCCUUCCAAUGACGUAUCCCGAUUCCUCGCCCGUUUCGCAAGAAGAGAUUGAUAAGCGCCUCCAAUGCGAUCCCCAAAUUCAGGAUUGUAAAGAGGUGGUGUAUGAAUGGACUGGGAAGUGCCGUAGUUGCCAAGGAUCGGGAUAUGUGAGCUACUAUGGCAAGAGAGGGAAAGCGGUUACCUGCAAAUGCAUUCCUUGCAUGGGAAUUGAAUGUCAAGUUGGAGUAAUUUGCCUAAUGUCUGUUUUGCAGGUUACGUGCAGAAGAUAACAGCUCGCAAGGAUAUUGAUGUAAUGGAGGAUUUGGAGAAUGGAAAACCACCAUGAUGGUUGAUGCAUAAAAUGUCAAAGACAAGUUUCCUUGACUUCCAAUACAACCUCUCAAGGAGAAAAUACCUGAGGAAGCCAUCGCGCCUGUUCUCCCGGGACAGGCAGAACUCUGGGCUUAAGGGUGUGUUUCUUCAGCCUAAUGCUGAUGAGAUGAAGCAGGUGUUUGACAAAUUUGAUUCCAAUAAAGAUGGGAAAAUUUCUCAACAGGAGUACAAAGCCACCAUGAAGGCUCUAGGCAUGGGGGACUCGGUUCAUGAAGUGCCAAAUAUUUUCAGGGUGGUUGAUUUGGAUGGAGAUGGAUUCAUCAACUUCAAGGAAUUUAUGGAAGCUCAGAACAAGGGUGGUGGGGUUAGGACGAUGGAUAUACAUAGUGCAUUUAGGACGUUUGAUAGGAAUGGCGACGGUAGAAUAAGUGCUGAAGAAGUUAAAGAAACGCUAGGAAGGCUGGGAGAAAGGUGCAGCAUUGAGGACUGUCGGCGAAUGGUGAGAGCUGUGGACACUGACGGAGAUGGCAUGGUUGACAUGGACGAGUUCACAACCAUGAUGACACAGUCCCUGAGACAUGUUUGAAUGUUUAUGGCUAUCAUGUUUCUUGAGCUUGUAUUUAGGAUCACCUCAAUGAAAGCUAUGUGUGCUGUAUUUAGAUUUGUGCAUGUGUUAAAUAAACUGGAUUUUAAAAUCAGUGGAACAAUACAAUUGUACUGUUAAAACGGACAACUCUAUUGCUUGUAAUGAAUAAUACUAAUAUAAAAACUUUCUUGUGUUUAGA